AGCUCAUUUGCCAGUGGAGAGUUCCAGCGUGCUGGAAUGUCGGCUUUGCCCAGAUGGGACUGCUCAUCGCAAACCCAGCUGUCAGUUUCACCUUAGGAAUGUCUGGCUUUAAUCCAAACUAGUACUGACCAGUCCAGCCUUUCUCGACAACACCAUCAUUUCUCUCAGGGGCUGUUUUCCCCCACCAUCUGGCAGGGAAUUAUUUUAUUAGCUGAAAUACAACGAGGGUUGGGCUCAGGCAGGAGAGGAGAGUGUCCGUGAUGUUCUCAGGAAACAAGAAGCUGAACGCUUAGCCUGAGACAAAUCCUAUUAGCAACAACAUGGAUCUGUGGAAAGAUUCUGUCAGCGACUCUGAGGACAGACAGGAAUGUGACAGGAGAGACGUGCCGAAGCUGUCAGGGUUGAGAACCAUAGAAAUACAAUGAAACAACAUUAUGAAAGAAAAUUUUGAAGACGGAAGAGAUCACCCUCGAGGUUGUAGAGAGGCCAAGAGCACACCAGAUGGGAGAGAACUCCGGAAAAGUUCACGGGCCUGUCACAAAAGUGGAAAGCGGCGUGUUCUAGCUUCCUCACAGAGACCUCCCUGCUGGACCCUCCAGACCCUGCGAGCCCAGUUGUGUGUGUCUGUAUGUAUCCUGUGUGGGCCUUCUCUGACAUCUCCACCCACACAGAGGUAAUUUUGGAGGAAGCGACUGAAACCCAUCCAUCGCCAAGCAACUCCUCUGCUAUGAUUUCUCCCUAGUCUACUGUCACUCUCAUGCUACGCGACAGCCUUGGCCAGACCAGAGGGAUGUAUGAAGCAUUUGUCAUUGAGGCCCAUUGAAUUUUAUGAGCGAUUUUCUCCUUUGUUAGCAAUUUCACAUUGCAUAUUAGCAUUUGUUUUCAUAUCAUAUUAGUAUUCAUCACAAAAGGCUAAUCUCAUUAGCACUUUUCACAUUAUAUUAGAGAAAACAAAUAAUCGCCUGGUGCCCAUGCGCCACAGCAACAAGGAUGGCCUUUUCAUCUGCUGCUCUUCUGUUUACUCCCCAUCUGCCCCACCUCUCUGCAGGGCUACCUCCAAACAGGGAAAAACUCACGGAUUGAGACUCUGAAGCACUCUGAGCUAUUCCAGAGCUGGGAUUUGCUCUUCUAGAAAUUUCCAUUCAUUCAGUUAAUAUUUAUUCAGCGUAUACCUGUACUGGGUUUUUUGCUAAAUGCUGGAGAUACAGUGGGGAAUAAGACUGUAUGAAAAAAAAGGCAAAUAAAUG
rnacentral:lncRNA from 1 species